GUCUCUGUGGCGCAAUCGAUUAGUGCGUUCGGCUGUUAACCGAAAGGUUGGUGGUUCAAGCCCACCCAGGGACA
rnacentral:tRNA from 2 species